rnacentral:tRNA from 1 species
GGGGUGCAGCUCAACUGGCAGAGCAUCGGAUUCCCAACCCGACGGUCGAAGGUUCCAACCCGGCCAACCGCU